GGGGGUGUAGCUCAGUGGUAGAGCCCUUGCCUAGCAUGUGGAAGGCCUUGAGUUCAACCCUCAAUACUACAG
rnacentral:tRNA from 1 species